rnacentral:rRNA from 1 species
GAUCCUGGCUCAGGAUGAACGCUAGCUACAGGCUUAACACAUGCAAGUCGAGGGGCAGCAUGGUCUUAGCCUGCUAAGGCCGAUGGCGACCGGCGCACGGGUGAGUAACGCGUAUCCAACCCUGCCUUACACUCUUGGACAGCCUUCUGAAAGGGAGAUUAAUACAAGAUGUUAUCAUGAGUAAGCAUUUUCGCAUGAUUAAAGGUUUACCGGUGUAAGAUGGGGAUGCGUUCCA